rnacentral:pre_miRNA from 1 species
ACUGUUUUCUAUUGGUGCAUAGAGUCCUUGUUUUACUUCUUCUAGCACCAUGAGAAAGCAGUAU